GCUGUCGGUUCGCCGCCCGUCGGUGUCAACUGGCAUGUCCUGUGGAACGUCCUGCCGGUGGCGGACCGGGCUUUCGGCUUGCGUAAGGGCUUACGCUCGAAGCAGGCCGAACAGUACCGGCCGCCGGUCCAAUCCCGCCACGGUGCUCUUCACCGAGUGUCGAGGUGGGCCGGCACGUUUACUUUGAACAAAUUAGAGUGCUUAAAGCAGGCUGGUGUCCGCCUGAAUACUGUGUGCAUGGAAUAAUAGAAUAGGACCUCGGUUCUAUUUUGUUGGUUUUCGGAACCCGAGGUAAUGAUUAAUAGGGACAGGCGGGGGCAUUCGUAUUGCGACGUUAGAGGUGAAAUUCUUGGAUCGUCGCAAGACGAACCUAAGCGAAAGCAUUUGCCAAGUAUGUUCUCGUUAAUCAAGAACGAAAGUUAGAGGUUCGAAGGCGAUCAGAUACCGCCCUAGUUCUAACCAUAAACGAUGCCAGCCAGCGAUCCGCCGAAGUUCCUCCGAUGACUCGGCGGGCAGCUUCCGGGAAACCAAAGCUUUUGGGUUCCGGGGGAAGUAUGGUUGCAAAGCUGAAACUUAAAGGAAUUGACGGAAGGGCACCACCAGGAGUGGAGCCUGCGGCUUAAUUUGACUCAACACGGGAAACCUCACCAGGCCCGGACACCGGAAGGAUUGACAGAUUGAGAGCUCUUUCUUGAUUCGGUGGGUGGUGGUGCAUG
rnacentral:rRNA from 1 species